CUGUAUCGCCAUGCAACCUUGAACACAACUGAUCUCAUCUGAUUUUGGAAGCUUAGCAGGGUCAAGCAUAGUUAGUACUUGGGUGGGAGACCAUCAGUAGGAAAUCAUAGGCAUCUCCAGG
rnacentral:rRNA from 1 species